UACAGAGGGUGCGAGCGUUAAUCGGAAUUACUGGGCGUAAAGCGCGCGUAGGCGGCUUUGCAAGUCGGGUGUGAAAUCCCCAGGCUUAACCUGGGAACUGCAUUCGAGACUGCAUUGCUAGAGUAUGGGAGAGGGAAGUGGAAUUUCCGGUGUAGCGGUGAAAUGCGUAGAUAUCGGAAGGAACAUCAGUGGCGGAAGCGACUUCCUGGACCAAUACUGACGCUCAUGUGCGAAAGCGUGGGGAGCAAACAGG
rnacentral:rRNA from 1 species